rnacentral:rRNA from 1 species
AUGGAUAAGAAAAAACUCCUUAAUCAAAUACUUGGAGGGACAAACGAAAGAAUGAAGUUAUAUUUUUGGGGUAUAUCCUACAGACCUACACUAUAUGUCCAUUUCCCACUAACAAUCCUGUACGAGUAUCUUGUACUGCAAAACAGUACCAUAGCAUCUACCACUGUAUGCCUGACGAUUUCUAGAGAUCUAUACAUCCAUCCUACCGGCAAGCUCUGCGCUUGCUCAAUCAGUUCCCGGCCUCGUUCGUGCCGCCGCUGGGGCCGGAUGGCGUCACGGGGCCCCUCGGCAGCAUGGCGAGCAGAAGCGGCGCGUACUUGUCGACGAUGA